rnacentral:rRNA from 1 species
CCUACGGAGGCAGCAGUAAGGAAUAUUGGUCAAUGGACGCAAGUCUGAACCAGCCAUGCCGCGUGAAGGAUGAAGGUCCUCUGGAUUGUAAACUUCUUUUAUAGGGGACGAAAAAAGGGAAUUCUUUCUCACUUGACGGUACCCUAGGAAUAAGCACCGGCUAACUCCGUGCCAGCAGCCGCGGUAAUACGGAGGGUGCAAGCGUUAUCCGGAUUCACUGGGUUUAAAGGGUGCGUAGGUGGGCAUUUAAGUCAGUGGUGAAAUCUCCGGGCUUAACCCGGAAACUGCCAUUGAUACUAUUUGUCUUGAAUAUUGUGGAGGUAAGCGGAAUAUGUCAUGUAGCGGUGAAAUGCUUAGAUAUGACAUAGAACACCCAUUGCGAAGGCAGCUUACUACGCAAAUAUUGACACUGAGGCACGAAAGCGUGGGGAUCAAACAGGAUUAGAUACCCUGGUAGUCCACGCCCUAAACGAUGGAUACUCGACAUCAGCGAUACACAGUUGGUGUCUGAGCGAAAGCAUUAAGUAUCCCACCUGGAAGUACGACCGCAAGGUUGAAACUCAAAUGAAAUUGACGGCUGAGACGNGCGAGACGACACGAGGGAGGAGG